GUGGUCGGGGUGGGGUGGAUGGGUGGUUAUUAUUUGAUUUUUUUGUUAAUAUUUUUGUAAUUUUAUUUUAUUUUAUCUUUUUUUUUUGUAAGUUUACCUCUAAAAAUAGAUAAAAUUUUGAUGAACAAUAUUUUUGGAUGACUACCUCAAUAAUUGAGAUUAUUUAUGAUUAAUUAAUAGUUAUAUUAUUGUAAAAAAAUUAGUAAAUAAGUUGGAUUACUCUGGGUAAAUUUUGGUUAUUUACUUAUUUGUAUCGUUAAUGUAUCGCCCAAUAUUUAAGAAUUUGGCCAUCGAAGCUUGUACAUCAACAAACAUAUGCGUCAACUUCAUCAAUGCUUCUCAUUGUUGCUGCACCCGGAAAUUCCACCAGACCACCACCAUCUUCUACUCCAAUUUCAGGUUCUUGUUAUUGGAGGUGGAGAUGGAGGUGUCCUGCGUGAAGUAGCUCACCAUCCAUCAAUAACAUAACAAAGGUAAGGUUGCGUAGAUCCGACCCUCGCAAACUCCACCUAGGUGAGAGCUGCUCAAUGGCAUUGAGAUUAUGCUAUAUUGUACUAAUUCAGGGUUAUCAUAGAUUUUGUGUAAUCGCAACAAUCAGCCAAAUUAUAAGCUGUAAAAUCUGUUGUAUGUAAUUCGUGCGUGCACAUACAAACAAAGGCUUGUAUUACCAUUUGUGAUUCAAAUGAUGUUGAGCCAUUGUGUGUGGUUUGGUUCAGGUGAUAUUUAGAGACUUCAAAUCUUCUAACAUUCUGCUGGACGAGAAUAUGAUUGCCAAGUUUUCUACACUGAAUUCGAAAAUGGUUUAUCAUAUUUUAUUUGGAAGAUUCUAUGCAUUUGUUGUUGAAAGUUGGAUCAGUUUGGCUAUUAUUCUUGAAUUCAAUUCGAAAAUGGUUUGAAUUGUUUACUUCUUAACAGAUUCAAGAUAUAUAGGUCUGAUGGUGUUGGUGUCGAAUUCUUAUUAUUGAAAAAAUAUUUUUGUUUAGAGUGUGGUAGGAGUUGAUUAAAUGUAGAAAACUAACAUAUAUGUGCUUCAUAAUUUCAGGUUUAAGUUUUGGAAAAAAGUAAAAAUGCCUGACACACUCUUAUCAAUGAUUUUGAAUACAAACUUAGGAAACGGAGAGUGUCUUCCUUAAGAUUUGCUUACAAUUAACAUUUAAAAUGUGAUUUUUCAUCCUCGUUAUUUAUUGGUUUCUUGGCAAAAAUUGAGGGGUCGCAAGCCAUGGCAAGGUACACAGCAGAGUUGCUUCGUUCAGUUAUAUCACAACAAAGGAUUCCUUAUACAAAUCAGACGUCUGUGUCCAACUCUUGUGCAUAGACGUCUGUGUCCAUUGCUUCUCUCUAGGUUUAGUAUUUGUUUUUAUUUUAUGCGCAUCUAUAUUUGUAUUUAUGCGUAUACCAUUGUGUCUAAAUAAUGUUAACAUAAUAAAGCGGAAUACUUUGUUGUGCUCUUUGGGUUAAAAUAUUUGGUUAAAAGCUUAACAAGCUGAGAGAAACUGACUUGUUAGCAUGUUACAUGUUAACAAACCCACAGAAUUACCAGCAGCUAACACUAAUCACACCAUUAUAAAUAGAGAAAGAUGUUGUUUCUUGGAACUCAAUGAUUGCAGUGUUUGGACAAAAUGGACUAUCAGCUGAAGAUAUCGAUGUAUUUUGUGUCAUGGUAAAUGAUGGACUUGUCAAAUUUAAUGCUGUGACAAUAUCUACUGUAUUCUGUUGGCUUACGCUCAUGCUGGAGCUUUAGUUCUUGGCUUGCAUUAUAUAUUCUUACAGGUUGUUAAAAUGGGUUUGGAACAAAAUGUCUUUGUUGGCACAUCAAUCAUUGACAUGUAUUGCAAAUGCUGCCAGGAUAGUAUUCAAUUGCAUGAAGAAUAAGAGUUUAAGAUCCUGGAGUGCAUUGAUAUCUGGUUAUGCAAUGCUUGGGUAUGCCACAGAAGCUCUUGAUCUUUUCUAUGAUAUGAAAAGGUCGAGGAUAAAGCCAAAUUGUGUAACUUAUAUAUCAGUUUAACUGCAUGUAGCCAUGUUGGCCUUGUCAAAGAAGGUUGCGAGUGCUUUACUAGCAUGAAAAGUGAUAAGUGUAGUAAUUUACACUUAUUGCUUCCUUUUGUGGUUUAUCGAGGACUAUAGUUAGCGUUUUAAGGUUCAUUGCGUUCAUGAUUUGCUAAAAUGAGUUCAUUUGUCGUUAUUUCCCUUUUCAUGCUUUAAUAAUUGAUAUUCGAGUUGAUUCAAGCAAGUUUCAAGCCUUCUCGGUCCUCAAACAUGUCUACCGAGCUUUAAUGAUACAUCACUAUAUAGUUCGACAUUAUUCAGUAGCUCAUGAAUGCUUUUAUCAAAGUCGAAGAAAGUUCGAAGGACAUUUGAAGAAAUUUCAAGUCAUUAAGCAUGAUCUCGGGUGAGUUUACAUUGCCUUCGAUUGAAGCUCUAUUGAAAUCAAGGUUCUGGAUUGAUUUGCAUUUUAUUUCGGUUGAGACUCCCAACAAUUUAGUCGAAGCUGGGUAUUGAGAAAAGUACUGGUGCUAGCUGAUUGAAGCAUCGACCGAAGCUGCCCUUGACUUCGGCCGAAAUCGGAGCUUGAUGUAACCGCUGCAUUAUUUUCUUCCUUGGAAUUCGGAUGUGAGCAUUAACUGAAUUGCAGUUUCUAAUCGAAGGCAUUUUAGUUAGUGGAGAUUAUGUUAAUUAUUUUAGUUUUCAUUUUAGUUAGUUUUUAUCAAUUAUUUUCGGAGGCAUUUUCGACAGAUUAGUAAAGGGGCAUUAUCAAUAUAAAUUAGAAAGUUAGGCACAUUUUGCAUAGAUUAGUUUUAGUUUUAUUAUAUUUCAUUAUCAUGCUUUAGUUAAUUAGAUUUUCUUUAUUAUACUUUAAUUUAGCCUUUAAUUUUAAUUUGUACUUUAAUGUUUAUGUAAUUUGAAGUUUAC